CUCGCUAAAGAAUAACUACAAAUCAUCGUCUAUGUGGAAAACAUUAUCCAGGACCAAGAUCUAAGCAAGGUGCCCUGCAAAGAAGUAAUAUAAAUGCCCAUACUUUGAUUUUUAAAAAAUACAUUGGAGUUACCCCAAAUAAGUGAUAAAAUAUUGGAAUUUCUCAGGAACCUCCACCAUUAUCCCAAGACUGGUAAGAUCUCAUCAAACACAU
rnacentral:lncRNA from 1 species